GUGAACGCUGGCGGUAGGCCUAACACAUGCAAGUCGAACGGCAGCACAGUAAGAGCUUGCUCUUACGGGUGGCGAGUGGCGGACGGGUGAGGAAUACAUCGGAAUCUACUUUUUCGUGGGGGAUAACGUAGGGAAACUUACGCUAAUACCGCAUACGACCUACGGGUGAAAGCAGGGGAUCUUCGGACCUUGCGCGAUUGAAUGAGCCGAUGUCGGAUUAGCUCGUUGGCGGGGUAAAGGCCCACCAAGGCGACGAUCCGUAGCUGGUCUGAGAGGAUGAUCAGCCACACUGGAACUGAGACACGGUCCAGACUCCUACGGGAGGCAGCAGUGGGGAAUAUUGGACAAUGGGCGCAAGCCUGAUCCAGCCAUACCGCGUGGGUGAAGAAGGCCUUCGGGUUGUAAAGCCCUUUUGUUGGGAAAGAAAAGCAGCAGGUUAAUACCCCGCUGUUCUGACGGUACCCAAAGAAUAAGCACCGGCUAACUUCGUG
rnacentral:rRNA from 1 species